rnacentral:rRNA from 1 species
AACGAACGCUGGCGGCAUGCCUAACACAUGCAAGUCGAACGAUAUCUUCGGGUCUAGUGGCGCACGGGUGCGUAACGCGUGGGAAUCUGCCCUUUGGUUCGGAAUAACAGUUGGGAACGACUGCUAAUACCGGAUGAUGACGAAAGGCCAAAGAUUUAUCGCCAGAGGAGGAGCCCGCGUAGGAUUAGCUAGUUGGUGUGGUAAAGGCGCACCAAGGCGACGAUCCUUAGCUGGUCUGAGAGGAUGAUCAGCCACACUGGGAGUGAGACACGGCCCAGACUCCUACGGGAGGCAGCAGUGGGGAAUAUUGGACAAUGGGCGAAAGCCUGAUCCAGCAAUGCCGCGUGAGUGAUGAAGGCCUUAGGGUUGUAAAGCUCUUUUACCCGGGAUGAUAAUGACAGUACCGGGAGAAUAAGCUCCGGCUAACUCCGUGCCAGCCGCCGCCGUAA